rfam:Ophiophagus hannah scaffold6327.1, whole genome shotgun sequence.
CUUGGGUGUCCUUCAUUCCACUGGAAUCUGUCAAAGCAGACAGCAGAUUUCUGUGAAAUGAAGCCCAUCAGGCA